GCAUAUAAAGCUAAUGUAUGAAGCGCUGGUCUUGUAAACCAGAAAUAGAAGUUAUAUUCUUUAUGCA
rnacentral:tRNA from 1 species